rnacentral:rRNA from 1 species
GACGAACGCUGGCGGCGUGCUUAACACAUGCAAGUCGAACGAAGAGCGAUGGAAGCUUGCUUCUAUCAAUCUUAGUGGCGAACGGGUGAGUAACGCGUAAUCAACCUGCCCUUCAGAGGUGGACAACAGUUGGAAACGACUGCUAAUACCGCAUACGAUCUAAUCUCGGCAUCGAGGAUAGAUGAAAGGUGGCCUCUACAUGUAAGCUAUCACUGAAGGAGGGGAUUGCGGCUGAUUAGCUAGUUGGAGGGGUAACGGCCCAGCAAGGCGAGGAUCAGUAGCCGGUCUGAGAGGAUGAACGGCCACAUUGGGACUGAGACACGGCCCAGACUCCUACGGGAGGCAGCAGUGGGGAAUCUUCCGCAAUGGACGAAAGUCUGACGGAGCAACGCCGCGUGAGUGAUGACGGCCUUCGGGUUGUAAAGCUCUGUUAAUCGGGACGAAAGGCCUUCUUGCGAAUAGUGAGAAGGAUUGACGGUACCGGAAGAGAAAGCCACGGCUAACUACGUG